UCUCCGCCCACAGCCGCCAUGAAAGAGGAGGAGGAAGGGAAGUGCCUGCUGACCUAACAAGGGGUUCUCAUUUCUUCACAUCCACACCAGAACUUAACCUUUGUUACUAGGGAGUUAAAGGAUGAAGGAGGCCUCUUUUCUGAACCAUGAAGAUGCCAGAGAGAAAAGAAAAAAAAAGGUUCCAACAAUGCCAGAAACCCUUAGGAAAAAUGGAAGAAUUUCACAGAGCUGAAGAUCGUCUGCCUAAGAAGCUUUCCCAAAGUUUCCUUGGAAAGGAAAGAAGGAAGCAUAUCUGUGAGAAGCAGCUAAGCACUAUCCACUGACUGUCUUCAGUGUUGCUGUUGUUAAGCUCAACAGGUUUCAAGUAACAUGCUGAGGAUUGUGGAAAACAUAUAUUGCAUGGAAACACCAGGAUGGGGCGAAUGUGAUGUCAUCACAGCUCUAUCAGCUCCACAAUGACAAGAAAAGUGGGCACUACCACAAUAGAAAUGUACUGUUGCUCCUCACUAAGGAAGCGAGGAGGUUCAGGAUCUCCUUUUCUCUGUGCUGAUCACCCUUGCCUGCCCGGUCUCCCUCAGCUCUCAGAGAAGUCCCAGGAAAUGAAGACAUCAAACAUGGGAUCCAGUGGCGUUCCUGUCUUCAUCCUCAGCAAGCGGGCCUGAAAAGCGAGUCUGUACUUAUUUUGGUUCUGACAAAGACAGAACAAUGGGUGGCUGUGUGCAAAGCCUUUUUGUUCCUGUCCAAUCUACAGGCAUUAUCCAAGGAAUCCCCAUUCACACGAGGACAAUGCACAGGCCUCUCUCCUUGUUUAGACUGUAGCUCACUCUAUCUUUAGGGCUCCUCUCAUUUUCUUUCUGGCAUUUUAAUCCUUAGACUUAGAGUUACCCAAUAAUUAAAUAAACUAAAUUAGAAGAAAA